GGCUCACGAUACUCCCUCUCCCAAAUCAGAUUUUUACUCUUUUUCUCCCUAAAACAUAGCAGCUCUUGGUCUUUCUUCCUCCCCACCAAACCGUGAGCUCCAACCCCUCUCAACUCCCAUCUCUUCUUCACACAAGCUCGGAUUAGCAUGAGAAUGGGUUAAGCUCGUGCAGAAGACAAAGAGGAAGGGUUUCAAAGGCUGAAAAUAAUAGCUUGAGCUUGGAUCAUGGGUUUUGCUUCCAAGUGAAAUUCCAUCAUCUACAAGCCUAGAGUAGCGAUUAUCAACAUCAAAUGGUUCAAUUUACCAAUUAUUCCAAGGAUAGUGUCCGGAUUGGAGACUCCAAUGGGUUCUCCAAUGUAGAGUUUAAGUUGGAGUCCAAUGCAGCCAAGGUAAAUUUGACAAAGUUUAUAAUUCUCGCUGAGGUAGCGUGAGAUGUAUUGGCAAUUCCAAUUACCACGAUUGCUUCUGAGUCAGCAUUUUGCACUGGUGGACGCGUGAUAGAUCCUUAUCGGAGUUCUUUGGCUCAAAAAACAGUGGAGGCUCUUGUAUGUACUCAAAAUUGGUUGAGAUCUUCUCCCAUUAGUGCACAUGAGUCAUACUUGCCUAACGUUAAAGAUGAAGAGAGCUACAAGCUUGACUCAAGUAAUGAAAUAAUAUUCAAUUCCAUCACAUAUGACGCAAAUUAAGGCUUGAAUUAUGUACUUCGUCAAACGAUGUUUCUUUGUUAGUUCGAGGUAUCACAUGGAAGGAAUAAAAUCAAGUUGUUUAGUUUAAUUUGAUUAUUUGAUAAUUUGAUAGCAUCAAAUUGAAUGAUGCUAUUUACUAUUUAACUUGUGUUAGUUUUCUUCAGUAAAUUUUAAUUUGGUUUGUAAACUUUUAAUUUGUUUUUUGUUUAAUUAUUUUUGUGAA